rnacentral:rRNA from 1 species
GGUCAGGGUCUGGGCGACGCUGGCGGCGUGCUUAACACAUGCAAGUCGAACGAUGAAGCCGGGGCUUUUUGUUUUGGUGGAUUAGUGGCGAACGGGUGAGUAAUACGUGAGUAACCUGCCCUUGUCUUUGGGAUAAGCCUGGGAAACUGGGUCUAAUACCGGAUAUUCUGCUUUUGCCGCAUGGUGGGGGUUGGAAAGAUUUUUUGGAUGGGGAUGGGCUCACGGCCUAUCAGCUUGUUGGUGGGGUGAUGGCCUACCAAGGCGUCGACGGGUAGCCGGCCUGAGAGGGUGACCGGCCACAUUGGGACUGAGAUACGGCCCAGACUCCUACGGGAGGCAGCAGUGGGGAAUAUUGCACAAUGGACGCAAGUCUGAUGCAGCGACGCCGCGUGGGGGAUGAAGGCUUUCGGGUUGUAAACUCCUUUCAGUACAGAAGAAGCAUUUUUGUGACGGUAUGUGCAGAAGAAGCGCCGGCUAACUACGUGCCAGCAGCCGCGGUAAUACGUAGGGCGCGAGCGUUGUCCGGAAUUAUUGGGCGUAAAGAGCUCGUAGGCGGUUUGUUGCGCCUGCUGUGAAAGACCGGGGCUUAACUUCGGGGUUGCAGUGGGUACGGGCAGACUAGAGUGUGGUAGGGGUAAUUGGAAUUCCUGGUGUAGCGGUGGAAUGCGCAGAUAUCAGGAGGAACACCGAUGGCGAAGGCAGGUUACUGGGCCAUUACUGACGCUGAGGAGCGAAAGCGUGGGUAGCGAACAGGAUUAGAUACCCUGGUAGUCCACGCUGUAAACGUUGGGCACUAGGUGUGGGGGCCUUUUCCACGGGUUCUGCGCCGUAGCUAACGCUUUAAGUGCCCCGCCUGGGGAGUACGGCCCGCAAGGUUAAAACUCAAAGGAAUUGACGGGGGCCCGCACAAGCGGCGGAGCAUGCGGAUUAAUUCGAUUGCAACGCGAAGAACCUUACCCAUGGCUUGACAUACACUUGCGAUGUGCCAAGAGAUGGUGCAGCCUUUCUGGUGGUGUACAGGGUGAUGCAUGUUUGGUCGUCCGCUUCGUCGGCCUCGAGACGGUCGGAUAUA